ACGUAGGACGCGAGCGUUAUCCGGAGUUACUGGGCGUAAAGGGCGGGCAGGCGGCCAGGCAAGAUGGGCGUGAAAUCUCCCGGCUCAACCGGGAGAGGCCGCUCGUGACUGCGUGGCUGGAGGGCGACAGAGGAGCGUGGAAUUCCGGGUGGAGUGGUGAAAUGCGUAGAGAUCCGGAGGAACACCAGAGGCGAAAGCGGCGCUCUGGGUCGCGCCUGACGCUGAACCGCGAAAGCCAGGGGAGCGAACGGGA
rnacentral:rRNA from 1 species